AUGAUGUUUACAUAGUCGAUGAGGAUGGGAAGGGUAGAGGAUUUGGAGAAAGUGGGUGAGACCAUUGUUUCCAAAUUUUCUUUUUUCUUCCUUCUGUGUCUGAGUGA